GAUGAACGCUGGCGGCGUGCCUAAUACAUGCAAGUCGAGCGAACAGACGAGGAGCUUGCUCCUCUGACGUUAGCGGCGGACGGGUGAGUAACACGUGGAUAACCUACCUAUAAGACUGGGAUAACUUCGGGAAACCGGAGCUAAUACCGGAUAAUAUAUUGAACCGCAUGGUUCAAUAGUGAAAGACGGUUUUGCUGUCACUUAUAGAUGGAUCCGCGCCGCAUUAGCUAGUUGGUAAGGUAACGGCUUACCAAGGCGACGAUGCGUAGCCGACCUGAGAGGGUGAUCGGCCACACUGGAACUGAGAAACGGUCCAGACUCCUACGGGAGGCAGCAGUAGGGAAUCUUCCGAAAUGGGCGAAAGCCUGACGGAGCAACGCCGCGUGAGUGAUGAAGGUCUUCGGAUAGUAAAACUCUGUUAUUAGGGAAGAACAAAUGUGUAAGUAACUAUGCACGUCUUGACGGUACCUAAUCAGAAAGCCACGGCUAACUACGUG
rnacentral:rRNA from 1 species